rnacentral:rRNA from 1 species
UACGUAGGGGGCGAGCGUUGUCCGGAUUUAUUGGGCGUAAAGAGCGUGUAGGCGGCCAUACAGGUCAGCUGUGAAAACUCGAGGCUCAACCUCGAGACGUCGGUUGAAACCGUGUGGCUAGAGUCCGGAAGAGGAGAGUGGAAUUCCCGGUGUAGCGGUGAAAUGCGCAGAUAUCGGGAAGAACACCCGUGGCGAAGGCGGCUCUCUGGGACGGUACUGACGCUGAGACGCGAAAGCGUGGGGAGCGAACAGG